GUAUUGCCCUAGUACGGCGAGUGAGCGGCAACAGCUCAAAUUUGAAAUCUGGCUUUCGGGCCCGAGUUGUAAUUUGUAGAGGAUGAUUUUGGCGCGGUGCCUUCCGAGUUCCCUGGAACGGGACGCCUUAGAGGGUGAGAGCCCCGUACGGUUGGACACCAAGCCUCUGUAAAUCUCCUUCGACGAGUCGAGUAGUUUGGGAAUGCUGCUCUAAAUGGGAGGUAAAUUCCUUCUAAAGCUAAAUACCGGCCAGAGACCGAUAGCGCACAAGUAGAGUGAUCGAAAGAUGAAAAGCACUUUGAAAAGAGGGUUAAAUAGCACGUGAAAUUGUUGAAAGGGAAGCAUUUACUACCAGACCUUCUCCUGGCGGAUCAUGCGGUGUUCUCACCGCUGCACUUCGCCUGGUUUAGGCCAGCAUCGGUUUUCGUAGGGGGAUAAAAGCUUUAGGAACGUAGCUCCCUCGGGAGUGUUAUAGCCUUUUGCAUAAUACCCUUACGGGGACCGAGGACCGCGCUUUUGCAAGGAUGCUGGCAUAAUGGUAGUCAAUGACCCGUCUUGAAACACGGACCAAGGAGUCGAACAUUUGUGCGAGUGUUUGGGUGUUAAACCCUCACGCGUAAUGAAAGUGAACGUACGUGAGAGCCCUUACGGGUGCAUCAUCGACCGAUCUUGAUGUCUUCGGAUGGAUUUGAGUAAGAGCAUAACUGUUUCGGACCCGCAAAGAUGGUGAACUAUGCGUGGAAUA
rnacentral:rRNA from 1 species